rnacentral:rRNA from 1 species
UUUUCGGCAAUGGGCGCAAGCCUGACCGAGCAACGCCGCGUGGAGGAUGACGGCCUUCGGGUUGUAAACUCCUUUUGGGGGGGAAGACACAGGACGGUACCCCCCGAAUAAGCCUCGGCUAACUCUGUGCCAGCAGCCGCGGUAAGACAGAGGGGGCAAGCGUUGUCCGGAGUUACUGGGCGUAAAGCGCACGCAGGCGGCUCAUCGCGUGUGAGGUGAAAGCUUGGGGCUUAACCCCAAGUCGCCCUUGCAUACGGGUGGGCUCGAGCCAUUCAGAGGUCCCUCGAAUUGCCGGUGUAGUGGUGAAAUGCGUAGAGAUCGGCAGGAAGACCCACGGGGAAGCCAGGGGACUGGGAAUGUGCUGACGCUCAGGUGCGAUAGCGUGGGGAGCGAAC